GCUUGCUUCGGCAAUACCUCUACUAAAAUUGGAAUGAUACGCAGAAGGUUGGCUAGGCCUCUGUGCAGGGAGGAUAUGUAAAUUCGUGAAAUGUUCCAGAUUCUU